rnacentral:lncRNA from 1 species
AGUCUUUGGGUUCACAGCUUGGCUCUACAUUCAUUGCUGGAGGAAUCCAAGCCUCACAAAAGACCGCUUUUAAAGAAAAACUCUAUUUUUCUUAGAAGAACUAGAUUAAACUAAGAUCCUUUGCCAAUAAAAAGACAAACAAUAGAAAAUUCCUACAGAUUAAGAAUACCAACCAAGAUUUCAGUGAACUUACUUGCUUCAGCUCUGGGAGAACAGUUAUGACAUGGUGCUGAAUUACAUCAGUGAGGAACUAGAGCUUUAACCAAACUUGAGUAAGAACUCCCUGACUUGGAAACACUCAAGUUUCCCACACAUGACUGGAUGGCCCUGGCCACACUGGGAACGGAAUGGGGGCCUCCCAUUGGAACUCAGGGUGGAGGGGGAAGCUCGACCAGCUAUUGUGGCCCCCACUUCCAUUGACAAAGAGAAGAGACUUGUACACAGAGAGGCUGGGCAACUUGUACAUGGUUGCACAGAUGUCCAGAGGCAGUGCUGAGAUGUGAACACAGGAAGACUGGAUUCAGCAUCUGUGCUACUAACCAGGACACUAUGAAGUCUCUCAUACCUGUGGUACUAGGAAAAUCAGAGAAAAUUUCAAGGAGGGUGGGGCAUUAGAAGCUGACUAUGGAGGAACCGGUAGGAGUUGGAUGUUUGGAAAUAGAGGGCAGGGCAUUGCAGGUAGAGAAUGGGAGUGUAUUCUGGAUGCCAACACAUCUGUGGCGGUCCUAAGAUCAGGAAUAGAUGGUCUGUAUCUUCAGUAUGACUUAAUGUUUCUGAGUGUAAGACUUAAUCUCCAUUUGAAAAAGGAUAAAAAGAAGGAAAAAAAAUAAAAGCUAUUACGUUUCUG